UACGUAGGGGGCAAGCGUUGUCCGGAUUUAUUGGGCGUAAAGAGCUCGUAGGCGGUUUGGUAAGUCUGGUGUGAAAUCUCCACGCUCAACGUGGAGGGGCCACCCGAUACUGCCAUGACUGGAGUCCGGUAGAGGAGUGUGGAAUUCCCGGUGUAGCGGUGAAAUGCGCAGAUAUCGGGAGGAACACCUGAGGCGAAGGCGGGCUACUGGGCCGAUACUGACGCUGAGGCGCGAAAGCCAGGGGAGCAAACGGG
rnacentral:rRNA from 1 species